rnacentral:rRNA from 1 species
UUAAACAGUUACUUGGAUAACUGUGGUAAUUCUAGAGCUAAUACAUGCAAUCAAGUCCCGGCCAGAGAUGGGAGGGACGCUUUUAUUAGAUCAAAACCGAUCGGCGUCCGGCUCCGGCCGGCGCCGUCUCUUUUGGUGACUCUGGAUAACCUUAAGCCGAUCGCACGGUCACAGUACCGGCGACGCAUCUUUCAAAUGUCUGACUUAUCAACUGUCGAUGGUAGGCUCUGCGCCUACCAUGGUUAUAACGGGUAACGGGGAAUCAGGGUUCGAUUCCGGAGAGGGAGCCUGAGAAACGGCUACCACAUCCAAGGAAGGCAGCAGGCGCGCAAAUUACCCACUCCCGGCACGGGGAGGUAGUGACGAAAAAUAACGAUACGGGACUCAUCCGAGGCCCCGUAAUCGGAAUGAGUACACUUUAAAUACUUUAACGAGUACCAAUUGGAGGGCAAGUCUGGUGCCAGCAGCCGCGGUAAUUCCAGCUCCAAUAGCGUAUAUUAAAGUUGUUGCGGUUAAAAAGCUCGUAGUUGGAUCUGUGUGCCACGCUGUCGGUUCACCGCCUGUCGGUGUUAACUGGCAUGUCUGUGGGACGUCCUGCCGGUGGCGGUACGGGCUGCCGGCGCUGCGUAGGGGUUCGCCCCCGAAGCACGCCGGCGUGUCCCGGUCCGCCGAUCCAAUCCCGCCGCGGUGCUCUUCACUGAGUGUCGAGGAGGGCCGGCACGUUUACUUUGAACAAAUUAGAGUGCUCAAAUCAGGUCGUAUUUAGGCCUGAAU